CGCGAAUGGCUCAUUACAACAGCUAAAAUCUACUUGAUCUUGACACAAUCCUACUUGGAUAACUGUGGUAAUUCUAGAGCUAAUACAUGCAUUAAAGCUCUGACCUUAGGGGAAGAGUGCAUUUAUUAGAACAAAACCAAGCGGCUUCGGCUGUUUUCGGUUGACUCAUAGUAACUGAACUGAUCGCAUGGUCUUGCACCGGCGACGUGUCUUUCGAGUAUCUGCCGUAUCAACUUUCGAUGGUAGUGUAUCUGACUACCAUGGUGAUCACGCGUAACGGAGAAUAAGGGUUCGACUCCGGAGAGUUCGCCUGAGAAAUCGCGAACACAUCUAAGGAAGGCAGCAGGCGCGAAAAUUACCCACUCUCAGCACGAGGAGGUAGUGACGAAAAAUAACGAGACCGUUCUCUUAUGAGGCCGGUCAUCGGAAUGGGUACAAUUUAAACCCUUUAACGAGUAUCUAUGAGAGGGCAAGUCUGGUGCCAGCAGCCGCGGUAAUUCCAGCU
rnacentral:rRNA from 1 species